CUGGCGGCGUGCCUAAUACAUGCAAGUCGAACGGUCUUUCUAUGGAAGCUUGCUUCCACUGAGAAGAUAGUGGCGAACGGGUGAGUAACACGUGGGUAACCUGCCCAUAAGAGGGGGAUAACAUCCGGAAACGGGUGCUAAUACCGCAUAGUUUUCUUGAUCGCAUGAUCGGGAAAGGAAAGACGGCCUUUGUGCUGUCGCUUAUGGAUGGACCCGCGGCGUAUUAGUUAGUUGGUGAGGUAACGGCUCACCAAGACGAUGAUACGUAGCCGACCUGAGAGGGUGAUCGGCCACAUUGGGACUGAGACACGGCCCAAACUCCUACGGGAGGCAGCAGUAGGGAAUCUUCCGCAAUGGACGAAAGUCUGACGGAGCAACGCCGCGUGAGUGAAGAAAAGGUUUUCGGAUCGUAAAACUCUGUUGUCAGAGAAGAACAAGUUGGAGAGUAACUGCUCCAGCCUUGACGGUAUCUGACCAGAAAGCCACGGCUAACUACGUGCCAGCAGCCGC
rnacentral:rRNA from 1 species